GGAUGGGUCUGCGCCCUAUCAGCUAGUUGGUAAGGUAAUGGCUUACCAAGGCAAUGACGGGUAGGCGGAGUGAGAGCUUGACCGCCAACAAUGGCACUGAGACACUGGCCAUACUCCUACGGGAGGCUGCAGUCGAGAAUAUUGGUCAAUGGGCGAAAGCCUGAACCAGCGACGUCGCGUGUAGGAAUAAGAUCUUCGGAUUGUAAACUACUUUUAUAAGGAAAGAAUCUUUUGAUGACGGUACCUUAUGAAUAAGGGGUGACUAAACUCGUGCCAGCAGUAGCGGUAAUACGAGUGCCCCAAGCGUUAUCCGGAUUUAUUGGGCGUAAAGAGUCUGUAGCCGGAUAUAUAAGUCUGUUUUCAAAUACUCCGACUCAAUCGGAGAAAGGGGAUAGAUACUGUAUUUCUGGAAUUUUUUGGGGGUUAGUGGAAAUUUCCCGGGGGAGCGGAUGAAAUGCGUUUAAUUCGAAAAGAACGCCAAAAGUGAAAAAACAUCUUACUACAAUAAACUUGACGGUCAAAGACGAAAGCUUGGGGACCAAACGGGAUUAGAUACCCCGGUAGUCCAAGCUGUAAAUUAUGCAUGCUAGAUGUUUUGGACCCUUGUGGUCUGGAGUGUCGUAAUCUAACGAGUUAAGCAUGCCGCCUGGGUAGUAUAUUCGCAAGAAUGAAACUCAAAGGGAUAGGCGGGGGAACACACAAGCAGUGGAUUAUCUAGAUUAAUUGGAUUCUAAGCCAAAAAUCUUACCUAAAUUUGACAUGUACUAUGUCCUAUGUGAAAGCAUAGUAGUCCGGGCAAUCGGACGUGGUACACAGGUGGUGCAUGCUCGUCGUCAGCUCGUGCCGCAAGGUGUUUAGUUAAGUCUAGAAACGAGCGCAACCCUCAUCUUUAGUUAGAAUGUCUAAAGAGACUGCUCCGGUAACGGAGAGGAAGGAGAGGAUGACGUCAGAUCCUCAUGCCCCUUACAUUUAGGGCUUCAUAGAUAAUACAAUGGACAGUACAACGAGAAGCUAAGCCGCGAGGUGGAGCAAAACUCUAAAGCUGUCCCUAGUUCGGAUUGUAGUCUGGAACUCGACUACAUGAAGUUGGAAUUGCUAGUAAUGGCGGGUCAGCUACACCGCCGUGAAUAUGUCCCUGUUCCUUGCACUCACCGCCCGUCAA
rnacentral:rRNA from 1 species